GAUGAAGAACGUAGCGAAAUGCGAUAAGUAAUGCGAAUUGCAGAAUUUCCGUGAGUCAUCGAAUCUUUGAACGCACAUUGCGCCCGGCAGUAAUCUGCCGGGCAUGCCUGUCCGAGCGUCAUUUCUGCCCUCGAGCGAGUCCAGCAUCUAGGUGCUGGGCCCGCCCGGCGUUGGGGCACUACGGGAAGCCCUGUGCUGUCCCCCGUAGGCCCCGAAAUGAAGUGGCGGUCCUGCCGCGGCGCCCCCUGCGUAGUAUAACAGCUCGCUUCGGGACCCGGUGGAGGCCUGCCGUCAAACCUUACUCUCUAAGUUUGACCUCGGAUCAGGUAGGGUUACCCGCUGAACUUAAGCAUAUCAAUAAGCGGAGGA
rnacentral:misc_RNA from 1 species